AAUAUUGCGCAAUGGAGGGAACUCUGACGCAGCGACGCCGCGUGAGCGAUGAAGGUUUUCGGAUCGUAAGGCCCUGUCCUUGGGGAAGAAGGGAGCCGUAAGGCUUCUUGACGGUACCCAUGGAGGAAGCCCCGGCUAACUACGUGCCAGCAGCCGCGGUAAUACGUAGGGGGCAAGCGUUGUCCGGAAUUAUUGGGCGUAAAGGGUGCGUAGGCGGCCCUUUAAGUCAGAUGUGAAAGCCCACGGCUUAACCGUGGGACUGCAUUUGAAACUGGAGGGCUUGAGUGUCGGAGAGGGUAGUGGAAUUCCCAGUGUAGCGGUGGAAUGCGUAGAUAUUGGGAGGAACACCAGUGGCGAAGGCGACUUUCUGGCCUGUAACUGACGCUGAGGCGCGAAAGCUAGGGGAGCAAAC
rnacentral:rRNA from 1 species